AUACGGAGGGUGCAAGCGUUAAUCGGAAUUACUGGGCGUAAAGGGUGCGUAGGUUGUUGAAUAAGUUAUCUGUGAAAUCCCUGGGCUCAACCUGGGCAGGUCAGAUAAAACUGUUUGACUCGAGUAAAGGAGAGGGUAGAGGAAUUUCCGGUGUAGCGGUGAAAUGCGUAGAGAUCGGAAGGAACAUCGGUGGCGAAGGCGUCUACCUGGCCUAUUACUGACACUGAGGCACGAAAGCGUGGGGAGC
rnacentral:rRNA from 1 species